GAGAAAUCCGUGCAACACUUAUUGACCAUGUUAUCAACCAUGGACUGACACUGAUGGAAGCUGGACAAAGAGUUCAACCAAAUCUCAGCAGAAAUACUGUUGCGUCAGUAAUUCGGACAUUUCAUCGAGAAAACAGGAUUGAGGGUCGAGGACACCAAGGUGGAAGGGGCCCUAUGUUUAGUCGUGCACAAGAGGCCGCCAUUGUGAACAUGGUUUUGGCCAAUAAUUGUAUCAGGCUACGAGAAAUCCAAGCCAAUAUCAUCAAUGAUGACAAUAUUUUCAAUAACAUCCAACGAGUCUCUCUGUCAACAUUAGGUCGAAUCCUAAAGAAAAAUCAAAUAUACAUGAAGCAACUGUAUCGGGUACCAUUUGACAGAAAUUCAGAGAGAGUGAAACAUCUGCGCAAUGAGUAUGUGGAGAGAGUCUUGCAAAUGGAUGCUGCUGAAAUUCAACAUGAAUUUAUAUAUGUGGAUGAGGCUGGAUUUAACCUUGCAAAAACAAGAAGAAGAGGGAGAAAUGUAAUUGGGCACAGGGCAAUCACCAAUGUGCCAGGGCAGCGAGGGGGUAACAUCACCCUUUGCGCUGCUAUCACACAAAAUGGGGUCCUCCACCACCAUGCAAAUCUGGGACCCUAUAAUGCAAAUCUGAUACUUGCAUUUCUUGACCGAUUGCAUGAGAUUGUCACAGCAUUACACCAAGUGGACCAGAUGCGGUACAUUGUCGUUUGGGACAAUGUCUCAUUUCAUCGGGCUGCUCUAGUCCAGAACUGGUUCCAUGAUCACCCUGAUUUUGAAGUUUUAUACCUUCCCCCAUACUCCCCCUUCCUGAAUCCUAUAGAAUAAUUUUUUUCAGCGUGGCGGUGGAAGGUAUAUGACCUGCGGCCUUAUGACCGUUUGCCCCUCAUUCAGGCCAUGGAACAGGCAUGUGAUCUUAUUGAAGCAGCUUCAGUGCAGGGGUGCAUUCGUCACACAAGGCGAUUCUUCCAACGGUGCCUUGCCAAUGAAGACAUAGCCUGUGAUGUGGAUGAAAUGUUAUGGCCUGAUCCAGCCAGACGGAGAGACGGAUAGUUACAGUAUUCUUGUUGCUUUUACAGUAGUUUUCUUUCAUUUCUGUUUACUUUUACUUUACUUUUCUUCAGAGUCAAAGUGUAUGUACUGUAAUUCAUGCAGUAAUUUUUAUUUGUCUACGGAUUUUAUUUGUUUACAGUAAUUGAUAUCAUUGUUGGUUGAUUACUGUAACUGAUUAUGGUAAGAAAUACUGUAAGUAUUGAAAUAAAUACUUGAAAUAUUCAGUCUGCAGCAUCAAGUGUUGUGCAGUGCUUGGUAAGGUUAUAGUAGGCCUACAGUAUUUGUCUACAUUCUCCUUAUAUCUCAAAACAAAUCAUGAAUAAUGUUGUGAGUU